UCUGAUUCCCUGGCUGAACUCUGAGACCUUGGGGCUUAUCCCUGUGGAUCAACUUGCUCUGUCAGAUGCCGUCUCUAGUGGACCUCCCUCUCCAGACUCCUGCUCACACUGGCUUCCUAAGAUGAAGCAUUUGAAUGUGGAUUUUCCCUGCCACAGCUUCCUACCUGUGUGGGCAAGAGAUCCCUGGCCCGGAACGUGGGACCCUUGGAUCCUCUCUGACCUGAACGAGCACUACAAGUGAGAUGCCACACUCUGCCCUGACUUCGAUGGAGAACCAGCAGAAAGCAAGACCGCCAGUCAGCUCCGCCACUCACACAAAUCUUCUAAUAAUUAGCAAUCACUGGGGGAAAUACAGGAAAUCAAUUCCAGUUGAAAGAUUUUAAGGAAAUAAGUGAGAUGAGAAGAGUAGACCGAUCUACUGGAAUAUCCAUCUGCAGCACACCCAUGAAAAGUGAUCUCCUGAGGAAUAUUUUCAGGUAAAUUGGAAC